CAAAACUUGUCUGUGCGGAGCAUCUUGAACUGAGGAAAGAGAUACUAACCCUGUUAAAUCUUCAAAAGCAGGUACAAUACAAGGAGUCAGAAGGCUCAUCUUAUCGGGAAGGUUCAUAUUCUGAAACACCUGGUACACCUCCUAAGCGUGCGCAACGUGCUACGGACCAAGAUAGAACAUUCAUUCCCGAUUCUACAAGUUUUGGAGGGGAAAGAGCUGGUAAAAAGGACCAGAAACGCAAGGGGCCUGGACGAUUAUCAGAAGUACCAUCUUCACCAGCACAGUCAAAACGGCCUCGCAAGUUAAAAACUUCAGAUGGAUGAAUUGGAAGGACUAAAGCUACAAGGAGCUGUAUAAGAAGCUGCUUCAAAUCAACUUCUUUAUCCUGUGUUCUGCGCCUUUUUGAAUUUGCUCCACCAUGAAAACAUGAUCCAGCCUUUCAAAACUUCAAAUGUGGCUGUCUCAUUUGAGUGGCACAAGAAUGUUAGAUGCCACUCUAAUGCCUUUCUAUGGAGAUCAAGUCCUCCUUUGCAUCAGAGUACAGUCCCCGCAGUCUGUAUAUACAUCUGUAUCUUAUAGUUGUGAUUAGCAUGUUAACCUCACCUUGCUUACGGUGUCUCUUUGGCAUGUCACUAAAUUAUUGAGCCGUAUUGGCUGUUUCUGUAUUAACACAUCAAAGUAGUUCUGCUUUAGUCGCAUUUGGAUUGCUUACCAGGAAGGACUGAUAUGAGUUAACACUGGCACUGCAUAGAAGCUGAAACAGAUAGUGUAGUG
rnacentral:misc_RNA from 1 species